rnacentral:rRNA from 1 species
UACGAAGGGGGCUAGCGUUGUUCGGAAUCACUGGGCGUAAAGCGCACGUAGGCGGAUCUUUAAGUCAGGGGUGAAAUCCUGGAGCUCAACUCCAGAACUGCCUUUGAUACUGAAGAUCUUGAGUCCGGGAGAGGUGAGUGGAACUGCGAGUGUAGAGGUGAAAUUCGUAGAUAUUCGCAAGAACACCAGUGGCGAAGGCGGCUCACUGGCCCGAUACUGACGCUGAGGCACGAAAGCGUGGGGAGCAAACAGG